UGGGGAAUCUUGGACAAUGGGCGAAAGCCUGAUCCAGCCAUGCCGCGUGAGUGAAGAAGGCCUUAGGGUUGUAAAGCUCUUUUGGCAGGGACGAUAAUGACGGUACCUGCAGAAUAAGCCCCGGCUAACUUCGUGCCAGCAGCCGCGGUAAUACGAAGGGGGCUAGCGUUGCUCGGAAUCACUGGGCGUAAAGGGUGCGUAGGCGGGUCUUUAAGUCAGGGGUGAAAUCCUGGAGCUCAACUCCAGAACUGCCUUUGAUACUGAAGAUCUUGAGUUCGGGAGAGGUGAGUGGAACUGCGAGUGUAGAGGUGAAAUUCGUAGAUAUUCGCAAGAACACCAGUGGCGAAGGCGGCUCACUGGCCCGAUACUGACGCUGAGGCACGAAAGCGUGGGGAGCAAAC
rnacentral:rRNA from 1 species